rnacentral:rRNA from 1 species
GAGUUUGAUCCUGGCUCAGGACGAACGCUGGCGGCGCGCCUAACACAUGCAAGUCGAACGAGCGAGAGAGAGCUUGCUUUCUCGAGCGAGUGGCGAACGGGUGAGUAACGCGUGAGGAACCUGCCUCAUACAGGGGGAUAACAGUUAGAAAUGGCUGCUAAUACCGCAUAAGCGCACAGAGCUGCAUGGCUCAGUGUGAAAAACUCCGGUGGUAUGAGAUGGACCCGCGUUGGAUUAGCUAGUUGGCAGGGUAACGGCCUACCAAGGCGACGAUCCAUAGCCGGCCUGAGAGGGUGGACGGCCACAUUGGGACUGAGACACGGCCCAAACUCCUACGGGAGGCAGCAGUGGGGAAUAUUGCACAAUGGGGGAAACCCUGAUGCAGCGACGCCGCGUGAGUGAAGAAGUAUCUCGGUAUGUAAAGCUCUAUCAGCAGGGAAGAAAAUGACGGUACCUGACUAAGAAGCCCCGGCUAACUACGUGCCAGCCGCCGCGGUAAUAC